CCGGGAGCGGAUUAAACAGAUCUCCUGAUCCCUGGAAUGACCUUACAUUGUGAGGCUCCAACAGGAAGAGCAUUAGCCUUAACUCUCUGCACGGGUUCCCUUUCCAUUCAGCGCACAGAAACCUGACACCUGUCAGUCAGGGCUCCUGCAGGCUUACUGGUAGGUACCAAUUUUUGGGCUGUAGUCCAUAAGUGGACUCAUGCUCCAUUCUGUGUGGACUGCAAGCCUGAUGCAUGUGUGACUCCUUUUAAAACAUUAGUUUACAUUUUAGAAAAGGAUGUUGGGUAAGAUUAUAAAGACUAAUAUGUGCUGAUGAAGUUUGCAGUAAAUGUAGCUUAAUCCUAGAACACUAUCGCUAAAAUUAGUACCACCAUCACUUUCGCCGGGUGAUUUUUGCCUGAAAUAAUAUACCCAAGAAAAAGUACUUGUCUUCAAAAUAUAUCAAAAUAGGACAAUACAUGACAAAUUAAAGUUGUUUUCUUUUCUUUUUAACUGCUCAAUGUCCAAAGGGAGAGGGAAAAGUGUAAUGAGGGGACAGUAUAAAAAUGCAAAAAAAAUAACUGAAAUUAUUAUAAUUAUUGCAUUCAUGAACAAAAAUUUCGAAAAAAUAAAUAAAUAAACUUAUUUUUUUUCCCCCACCCAUUCCUGGGGUAUGUGAGUCUUCCCUUGGCACAAUAACAGCUGCAGGAGAGAGAACCAAAUUAUGACGUAUUUUGAGUGAGUAAAAAUGACCAGCUGACUUAAAUAUUUCUCAUCAUCAUAUGAAUUCCCUUAAAAAUCACUACUUUGUGAUAGUUAUUCAUAACCACUGCACUAUAUAAAGAUAGCAGGCAAAUUCCAGGACCACUCUUACUGACCUUAUUACCUACACGCAGCUUUCAAAUCCACCCAAACCUACUUUACCCUCUAUCACUAUUGAUGGGUGAAAAUCACCCGAACACGUGCCUGAAGGAAAAGCCGGUUUAGGAUCAGGGGAACAAAUAUGCCUUCAAAGAUGUCAAAGGCCAUGCUGAAGCUACCCAGGGACCCAUGAUACUCAGACAAAUGCAACAUAAUGAAAAUCAUGUAAACGUUUGGUCGGGUGAAAAUCACCCGAGGAUAGUGUCCUAGGGUUAACUAGCAUGUAGCAUUACUUGCAAAAAAAGCUUCUUAAACUGCUUGAGCAUCAAGUUACACAACCUGGCUAGUCAUUCCGUGCCUCUGCUCCCUUCUUGGUAGCAGAGAUGAAGCUCCUCAGCAUGGCAGAGCGCACAGACUACAAACACACAAACGAAACUUGGUUUUACUUCAACCAAAUGCAAGUAGAAAGAUUUCGCUGUAGGGGUGAAGAUGAGCAUAUUAACUGUCAGUUUCUAACAAAUAAUCCUCUCUCAGCAGAUAAAAGAGUGUCCAAUCUUUUAGCCGUAAUUUCCACAUUUGUUUUCCCCUGUCAGCCCAUGGUCACAGUUUGCCAUAGUGUCACACAACAGGACUUCUUCAUCACUCAGUCAAAUCAAAAAACAAACAUCAAACACACUCUGCUGGGCUCACUCUCGCCAGUGGCCAUCAAAGAUUAAUGACCAUGAAGUCAUUCAGAAAGUCUUCCUUUGAGAAAAGAGUCUUUGGAUUUUACCCAAUGAUUACUGGAUUCAAACUUUUUCAGACACUUGGUGAGUUUAAAUCAUUUCAUGGGUUAAUUAUUAUUUCUUGUAGUUUGCAUAUGGUGGCUAAAUCAGCUGUUGUCACCUUGAGUAAGUAUUUGUAUUUAUUUCAGUCAUGGCAGGUGUCUUUUUAAGCUGGGUGCACAUAGUUCAGUUAGCAAUGUCACACAUUUUAAUUGAUCAUAAAUUAGUUUGCACUUGCUCUUGAUUUCAAGUUACUUACCCCGUUUGUUCGUUUGUUUUCUCAGCUCUCCAGACAAAAGGCUAACUGGCAACUUAAGAUGGCCUUUUAAGCCCCGCCCAUAGGAAGUGGAAGAGACCAUCAGGG